CAGCAGCCGCGGGAAUACGUAGGGUGCGAGCGUUAAUCGGAAUUACUGGGCGUAAAGCGUGCGCAGGCGGUUGUGUAAGACAGGUGUGAAAUCCCCGGGCUUAACCUGGGAACUGCGCUUGUGACUGCACAGCUAGAGUAUGGCAGAGGGGGGUGGAAUUCCACGUGUAGCAGUGAAAUGCGUAGAGAUGUGGAGGAACACCGAUGGCGAAGGCAGCCCCCUGGGCCAAUACUAACGCUCAUGCACGAAAGCGUGGGGAGCAAACAGGAUUAGAUACCCCUGUAGUCCCUGUCUCUUAUAC
rnacentral:rRNA from 1 species